rnacentral:rRNA from 1 species
GUGGGGAAUAUUGGACAAUGGGCGAAAGCCUGAUCCAGCCAUGCCGCGUGUGUGAAGAAGGUCUUCGGAUUGUAAAGCACUUUAAGUUGGGAGGAAGGGCAGUAAGUUAAUACCUUGCUGUUUUGACGUUACCAACAGAAUAAGCACCGGCUAACUUCGUGCCAGCAGCCGCGGUAAUACGAAGGGUGCAAGCGUUAAUCGGAAUUACUGGGCGUAAAGCGCGCGUAGGUGGUUCAGCAAGUUGAAGGUGAAAUCCCCGGGCUCAACCUGGGAACUGCCUCCAAAACUGCAUGACUAGAGUACGGUAGAGGGUAGUGGAAUUUCCGGUGUAGCGGUGAAAUGCGUAGAUAUAGGAAGGAACACCAGUGGCGAAGGCGACCACCUGGACUGAUACUGACACUGAGGUGCGAAAGCGUGGGGAGCAAACAGGAUUAGAAACCCCGGUAGUCC